rnacentral:lncRNA from 1 species
GAGAGAGCUUACACACUCUAGUGGGCACAGGGGUAGAGGAGUAGGGAGAGGGACAAGCAGAUGUAGGGCUCAAUUUCACCAUCCAGAGAUCAUGACCUGAGUUGAAAUCAAGAGAUCAAGAGUUGAGUACUUAGUCAACUGAGCCACCCAGGUACCCCUAGAAUUUGGAGAAUUUUAAAGACUCAGCCUAUCUUUGAAGGUAUAGAAAGUGAAAGGCAGAGAAGCUAGACCAAACUAUAAGGGCUAGUAAAUGACAACAGCAGUAAUUUAACCCUACAUUUCCUGACUCUCAAAUAUAGUAUUCUUUCUAUGCCACAGUAACAACAAAAAUGUCUUUAAUGACACAGAUAUUAGCUGAGUUUCUAGUAGCAAAUGCAACAUUAAAUUCAGUGUUAGGGACACAGUAGAGUAGUUAGCUACCUGCCCUUGAGGUAUGCCCCAGCUCAAAGGUGAAACAGUAGCUUUCAAAGUCAUCAGUGAAACACACAAAGAGUGGUCAUCACAGUCUGUUGAAUAGACAGGGAUUCUAGGAUGGGCUGGGUUCAAAUUUCUGAGUGGUGAGGGUCAAACAAUUAAGCAAUCCAAGAAGAGAGAACAGAGUUAUUAGGAACCUUUCACCUUCCCUUCACUUAACAAGUAUGUAACAGCCUUUGUACUCGGACUCCUCAGACAUCCAACAACUAUGCUUCUGUACUUGCUCUGUCCCAGACACUCACGGGUCAAUGCAAGGGGCGGGGGGUACGGAGAACAAGGACAAAUAGGUCUCUGUUGUUACAGACCUUACUUUAUUGGGGAAGGAAGUGAGACAACUGACAUGUAAAUAAUUAAGCAAGAAAAAAAUAAUAGCGAUGAGAGUUGUACAGAAAACAUACAGAUGCAGUGAUGUAAUAGAGAAUGUCUGGAUGGCUACAUUAUUUUGAUAAUUGUGAAAAUAAGUAGAGGAGACCUCAUUCAGAAUGCAGUAGGAAAGCCCCAAAAGGGGAGCUCUCAUGUACAUUUCCCUCUGAAGCCUACAUAACCAGCAGGAAGAAGAAAGAUAAUUGUUGUGACAAAGGAGUGCACUUUUCACACAGGAUUUCUCUCUCGCCCUUAAGAAAUGUUAGGAAGAGCCCCUCCUGCAUCAGCCACAAUGCACUAACCACCGCCUGCAGCCUACGGGAAACUGCAACAACCUCAAACUCUUAUUCUUCUCCAAUAAACUCUCAUUUAGAACCACCCUCCUCAAUUUCUUCCUAAAACCUAAUAAAUGCUGACCCCUUUGUCUCUUCAGACUUGCCUAUGGUUCAUCAUAGCUUGCUUGUCCCAAAUUGCAAUUCCCCUGCUAUUCCAGAGUAAAUUAAUUUUUUAACUUAAAUAAAAUUGCUCUUUGUUCUGUUUCAAGUUAAAAUGGUCAAGAAAACUCAAACUGAGGAAAUAAUUUUUAGAUUCAAAAUCAUAAGCAGUCAUGAGAAAUAUUACAUUAAAAAAGCGGGGGCAGCCCGGGUGGCUCAGCAGUUUAGCGCUGCCUUUGGCCCAGGGAGUGAUCCUGGAGUCCCGGGAUCGAGUCCCGAGUCAGGCUCGCUGCAUGGAGCCUGCUUCUCCCUCUGCCUGUGUCUCUGCCUCUCUCUCUCUCUCUCUCUCUCUCUCUCUCUCUCUCUCUCCCCAUAAAUAAAUAAAUAAAUAAAUAAAUAAAUAAAUAAAUAAAUAAAUAAAUCCUUAAAAAAAAAAGCUGGUGGGGCUGAGGAUAGUUGGCAAGAAGAAGGUAGAGGAACCUGAAGAAGCACAGGUAGUCAGGGAAGAGAUUUUAAGAUGUUUUUUGAACUAGGGUAAGGAGUUUGAAUUUUGUUAUAGAUGUGUGGGGAUGGUUGUAAGCAUUUGUAUGUGGAGGGCUUUGGGGAGGAGUGGGCACUGUAGUGCAUUAAGCAGGAGAGUGGCAAAAUCUUUUUAAAGAUCACUCUGGUAUGUAGCAGUUGAAAUGUUUGAUGUAAAUCUUGGAAGCCAGGAAAGCUGGUUAGAUGUCCGGCUGUGGUCCAAGCAAAAGACAAGGGUGAUUUGGUUUAGAGCAGUGGCUCUCAAUGGGAAAGAGGAACAUUUCCCUAGGGUACAUUUGCAAUGUCUGAAGACAUUUUUGGUGGUCAUGACUGGGAAAGGGGAGGUUGCUACUAGCAUCUAGUGGGCAGAAGUCAAGGACAUUGAUAAACAUCCUGCAGAGCACAAAACAGCCCCUGCAAAGAGAAUUAUCCAGGGUCAACAGAGACAACUUCAUGGAUUACACCCUGUGCAAUCUUGUAGGUCCCCAAAUACAUUCAGGAGGUAGCCACACCAGAUUUAUUGGUCGCUGCCAUGAAAUUCUUAAUAAUCUUAUCUUCGAAUGUUUCAUUUAUGAGUUAAGUCCUUUGGGACAAUGAAGCAUGCCUCUAAGUAGAGGAAAUAUAUGCAUUAAGCAUGUCCUCCAUCCUUGCUGGCCCAUUGACACCAUAGGGUUUGCCAUUCUUGAUGAGCAACAGAGCUCUGGUGACCUGUGGAAUUUCAGAAGACUCAAAGAGAAUAAAAGAUAACCAUGUUACGUCUAUUAUUGAGUAAGCAGAGCCUAAGAACCUCAGGUGACCACACUUUCUGUUUGAAAUAGUUUCCAAUGCACAAAGAUGCAAUGACUUCCUAAAGCAACACGCAUGACCAAGAAGUCUUAUGUAUGCUCUCUGACUCGUGUUACUGUAUCAUAUUAGCUACCAACUUAUUUGAAAAUAAUGGUAUUUGAAGGACAGUGGAAAAAAAAGACAACUCUUGUUUCCUUUUUCUUUCUCUUAUUACUCAGAAUGCAUUGGGAAUGUACACAUGAGGAAGCAAAGUAAAACUAGUAGGGUAAUGUGCAGCAUUUCCACUGUUCUGGUAAAAAUAAAAUACAUAUGCAUGCACAGGUUAUAGAAUUCUACUUGUGUAGUUUCCAUGAUUCUAUGUAUGAGUUAAAUGCUCUCAAAUUUACAUUUAAAACUGGCAUUGCACAAUGUAAAAAUGAAUGGUAAAACUUAUGCUAAUAAUUUAACCUUUUCUCUUUGCUAGAACAACAUUAAAUAGAAAAAUAACACCAUGACAAGAAAAGAGAGAAGCUGCAGAAGAUAAGAAAAAGCUUUAUUAUGUUUUAGUGGCUUUAAUGUCACAUUUUCCUUGCAUUUUGAAUAAAGGACUUCAUAUUUUCAUUUUGCACUGGGCUCUGUAAAUUAUGUAGCUGACUCUGGCUCCAAACAUCAAUAAUGUCAAAGUUGAGAAUUCCUGGUGUAGAGGAUGUCAGGGAGGAUGGAGAAAAGUGGACAGAUACAAGAUUUGUUCUAGAGGCAUAGUUAACUGGACUUCUUAAUGAAAGCACUGCCAAGGAGGAGGGAGCAAGGGUAGCUAGUUUGGGGCUUGAGUAACAGGUAAAGUAGUGGAGAAAUUAUGUGAUGACAUAUAUUAUCUAAUUCAACCCUUAUAAGAAUGACAUGAAAUAUACAUCAUUUUCCUCAUUUUACAAAAGAAGGUUAGAAGUGGUCAUCCAAAAUCUCAAACUAAUAAAGGGUAGAGCCAUAGUUCAAAUCCAAAGACAUUGGAGUUCAACGAGAGCAUGUCCUGGCUACUUUGCCUCCCAUAAUUGGAAAUUCGCAGGCUGAAUGAGGCUCGCUUACAAGUUAUGGAGCCUGUUGUGAAUGGAAGUCUGUGGAACACAGCAAAGGACUUUAUUCCUUGUCUGCUCUGAUCUGUGGAUUUCCCCGCACUGCUGGUGAUGCCAAUAAUGAAUAUCCCUUUCACUGUGUCUUGUCAAUUCAUCCGUCUCCCAAUAUUGCAUAAUAUCUUACAGGAUAGUUACAGAAAUUGAGAAAUAUGAGUGUAUAAAAGAGAAAGUAUUUGCUGUGCCUUUUCAUUAUAUUAUACUCUGUAUUUUACAUCAUUCAUAUUUUUCUUUAUAAACUCCUUGUCAAAUAUUUGAACAGUCAUUUACUUUAUCUGUAGUUUGCAAGAAUACUGAAUAUAGUAACAAAACUCUAAAAAAUGACCAAGACAUUUCACUUUAUAAAAAUUCAAAGUAUAUAAAUAUAUUGGAACUUCUAAAAACUCAUUCUAAAGUGUCAUAUUCUGCUACACAUACAAUGAUACUCAGAUUUAUAGCUUUAAAGAUGCCCUUGUCUGUUUCUUAUUAUAUAUAUAUAUAUAUAUAUUUGAAAGUAAUUGAUAUUCUAAUUAAAGUAUCUCUUUAAAUUAUACAUGCCUCCCUUCUACUAGUAACAAUAAAACAGCAUAUGACAUAGAGAUGUGUUUAUGCCAAGGAUUUCAGUAAUUCAAUUGUGCAAAAAUGAAUGUUUCAUUAUUUAACUUAUGCUAAUUUCUUAACUGUCUCCACCUGUUUAUUUAGAUAACCAUAGCCUGAAUUUUUCUCUGAAUAUUUGGAUCAAGUUCUGGUAAGCUGAACUGCCUUACUCCUUUUCUUCUUCUCCAAAUUUGUUAUUUCUCAUCAAAGCACACUGCUGAGAAUUUGGGCUGAACUUAUUAGUUUCUCAACAGAGCUUUCAGUGUCCCAGGAGGCAAAGUAAGAUUUAUUCCAAGUCAGAACCAGAAUAAAGAUAUUAGUUUUAGUUCUGCAAUAAGCUGCAGUAAGGAAAAACAACAACAACAAAACAAAAACAACAAAAACCCUUAGCAGCUUGCAUUAUGGUACUCACUAUGCUGUGCUGUAAUUUAUUCAUUUACAUUUCUGCCCUCCCAUUAGGCUGUGAGGUGUUUGUUAGUAGAAACCAUGUCUUAUUUGUCUUGUUAGAUCUCCUCUUCUAUAAAAUGCCCUGCCCAUUAUAGGGGUUCAAUAAAUGUCUGAAAAAUUAAUGAAUAUUGAAAAAAAGCAUUAUAUGACUGGCACCAGUGACUCCCAAACCUUUAAUAGUUACUUCUGACUCCGGGUCAUUGAGGUUAAUAUGAAUUAAAGGCAAACUACAAAAAUCCAAAUUAUAUCAUAGAGCCAUACUUCCUAACAUCACUUUCAUGGAAAAAUGAGACCUAGCACCCAAAUUGCAGACAAACUAUGUGUUACUGGAAUUUGUUGGUAUUGUUGCUGUUGUUGUAUGAAGAUAUGACUUUGAGGACUGUUUGAUCCAACAUACUGGAAUAGCCAAGAAACUACCAGCUCCUUCUCCAGUAGUACAAGGGUAAGUUUAGUAAUAGGUGUUCUGGAUUCAAAGUACCCAAGGUCAAAAGCCUUCUUCUCAAUUUGUAAGCUGUGUGGCAGUGGGACAAAUUAAUAAUAUUAAGCUUCAAUUUCCUUACCUAUAGAAUAUAGGUAAUAACAGAAUAUAUAUCACAGGGGUGUUGGGCCUUCCAAAAUUCAGAAAGAAGUGCUGAGUACAGUUCCAGGCACAUACCAAGAGCUUAGUGAUUGUUAGCUCUUAUUAGUUUCACAUGAUAGAUAACCUUUUGUACCUUUCUAGGUUCAAAGUAAACUCUAUUUCCAUUAUUAUAUCUUUCUUAGAAUCCUUCCAGGCACUUUAAUUUCUCCCUUUCCUGAUGUGUACAGCACAUUUUUUUUUUGUACAGCACAUUUUGAUUGGAAAAUGAUCUGGGGCAUUUAGAAAUUUUACAACACCUUGAAUUUCUUUGUAAUUACUUUAUGGGCAUAAGUCUUAUUUCCCCAAUAUUACUUGCCUAUUAUAAGGAUUUAUGGAGUGUUAUGUUUUGUUUUGUUUUCUGAAGAGACUCAUGGCAGCAACUUCUCCAAAAUAGGGUAAAAUCCACAUAGGGCAAGGUCCAAAUAUGAAAAGCUAGAGGGUAAAUAUUUACCUUCUCAUAGGGAGCAUUCAUAACUGUAACUAGGAAAGCCAUAUGUACAUCAUCUUCCAUAAGGCAAUAAAUAAAAAACAAAGAAAAGUAGUGGGUGCUGUUUUAACUUGAAAAAGAAAAAAGAAGGAAGGAAGAAAAAGGAGGAGGGGAGAGGAAAAGAAAAAAAAAGAGAAAGGAGGGGAAAUGAGUGGGAAAAUUUAGAGAGGGAGACAAACCAUGAGAGACUCCUAAUUCUGGGAAAUGAACAAAGGGUUGCGGAACGGGAGGUGGGUGGGUGUGGUUGGGGUGAUUGGGUGAAGGGCACUGAGGAGAACACUUGAUGGGAUGAGCACUGGGUGUUAUACUAUAUGUUGGCAAAUCGAACUUCAAUAAAAACAAAACCAAAAUGAAAAAAAAAAAAGAAAGGAAAAGAAAAAAAAAGAAAAGAGCAAUGACACAGCUAACAUUUGGUUCUCUUUGAUCUUAUAAGAAUAUUGCCUGUGUCCUUUAGGGGUUCACAAUCAUUUAAUCAGCAAGUGCUACAACAAACCCAACUAAGAUGUGCUAAAUGUUUUAUUUUCACCAGGGCUUUAUGUUGAUAGAAAGAUCCUGAUGGAUAUCAUAUAAUAAGAAGAAAUGUAUUUAUUUUUUUAAUGAUUUCAUGUAUUUAUUUGAGAGAGAGAGAGCGUGCACAAGCAGGGAGAGAGGCAGAGGGAGAAGCAAACUCCCCACUGAGCAGGAAGCCAGAUGUAGGGCCCCGAUCCCAGGACCCUGGGAUCAUGACCUGAGCCAAAGGCAGACGAUUAACCAACUGAGCCACCCAGGAGCCCUGAGGAAAUGUAUUUAAAACAGGCAUUUAUCUGUUGAUAAAAUGAAUUUUGUAUUAGUUCCAUGAGCUAAUACAGAUGUUUCAGUAUCCCUAAAUCCUAUAUUUACCUAACCACUGAAGCCCAUUUUUAGCAAAAAUGGAAACUCAUGUUCUGUUAUGACAAGUAAAACCUCAUAUUUUCUUGAGAUUCUGUAACAAUCACCCCAGGGAGGUAUCUUCACCUUUAAAUGUCUCCUCAGUCUAUUGUAUAUUCCAGCCAAGGAUUUCCCUUCCACUUUUCAGCUAUCUAUACCUUCUAUUGCCCAAACAAUAGACCAUCUAUUCUCCCUUAUGAAAUAUUUUAUUACUAUAAGGAGUAAAAGUUUCAAACUACACACUGCCAUUCUCAUCCCUACAUGGAAUCACUGUUGUGUGUUUUGCAGUAAAAUAGGAAAUAUAAUUCAAUGAAUGUUUACUCUGGAUCAAGUAUGCAUGCAGUGUUUUUCAUGCAUUAUGCCAUUUGCUUCUCACCAAAGAAUUUAUGAGAAGGAGGGAUUAUUAUUAUAAUCAUUUUACUAAAAAGAAAACUUAGGCCUUGAGAAGUUUAAGGUAAAAAAUUAGUUAAUACAAAAAUGGAUAUUGAAACAAAGUUAAUGAUUAUGUUAUAUUUCUACUGGAAAGAACAAAAAUAAUGGGUUCAGGGUGACAAUGUUCUUCAUUGAGAACCAUGUCCAAGAUUAGAGGAAGAGCCAGGAAAGCUACAUGUUUGAGAGAAGGUUCAUUUAGAUUCUUACACACAUUGGGAAUGAAUUUUAUUCUGACUUUUCUUGUACAAUUGUGACUUUCUACUGUCUCUUUCCCUAUCGUUAAAAAUCUUCAAAGAGCUGUGUUUGUUCUUCAGAUGAGUUAUGGAAAGUUGUAUAAGACCACAUUGCCCUCUGCAGUUAAACAAAAACCCAGGGCUUGCUCUCUAAAGGCCAUAGGUGAAGGUACAGUGGAGUCUGGUCAGUCAACUUCUGAUGUCCACAGAACAAAGUCCUGUAAGGGGGCAGAGACGGUAGCUCUGGAGGUGAUCUAGGGACCACCUGGAACCCUGCAAGUACUCCUGAAUGUGAAAAACCAGCAGAAAGUCUUUGAGUUUCUACCUUCCCUCACCAUCUCCCUCCCUAAUUCCCACUACCCAUCUCCCCUAGUCAGAGUUAGGCUCCCAUAUUAUUAUACACUUAUUUCAUCUUUAUACUUUUCACACACCAGGUGAUAACAGCGCACAUAUUAGUCAGUGAUAUGGCCUGAAUUGUGUCCUCCAAAAAUACAUAUGUUGAUGUUGCAACCCUAGUACCUCAGAAUGCGACUGUAUAUAGAAAGAGGGUCUUUAAAUAGGUAAUUAAGUUACAAUGAGUUCAUUAGUUUGGUCCUGAAUCUGAUAUCCUCAUUAAAAAAAAAAAAAGGAAAUCUGGACAUAGAUACAAAGGGAAGACAAUGUGAAAACAUAGCCAUAAGACAACUUAUCUACAAAUCAAGAAGAGAGAUCUCACUCAGAAUAUCCGAACGCUGCUGACACCUUGAUUUUGGACUUUUAUCCUCUAGAAUUCUGAGAAAAUUAAUUUGUAUUCUUUAAACCUCACAGUCUAUGGUACUUUAUGGCAGCUUUAGCAAACUAACAGUCAGUCACCCUCACUGGAUUUGGAACACCUCCAGGGAAAGAGCUGUGGCUUUUAUCUAUAAUUCACCAGCCAGCUAGUAUAAGUUCUAGAAGGUGACUAAUAUGUAUUUGUUGAAUGAAUGAUUUAGUAAAUAUCUAUCAUAGAUAUUACUGCAUCUGCCUUCACCACUACUGGCUAGUGAACUUAGAGAAAUAGCUGGUUAGUUAUCAACCCUAGAAUUUGGUGAUUUCCUGCUUGUUUGCUUAUUCUUUCAUUUUUCCUUUUUUUUAAUUCCUUUCUUUUAGAUGCAAAAAUAAAUUCCUAAUCGGCAAAGAUGGUACAAGGCUUGGAUCACCAAGAACAACAACUUUCUGAGUUCAUACUUGAAAGCUUUUCUGAAUAUGAUUGUAGGGUCUUAUAUGAAAAGCAACUUGGAGUAGUCCCAAGGAAACUACAGAAAGCUGAUGAACAAUCUUGCUUUGGGUAUGGAAAUGCAACUUUAGAGUAAGAGGUGUAAUGGAAGAUCCAAUUUAUAGUAAACACUGAUGUCUACAUACUGUCACGGUUAACUAUAAUCAAUCACAUGAUAAUGAGUUUCCUUAUGUGGUGCUCAUUAUGGGCCAGAUACUCUGUGGAGUUUUAUAUUGGCUAACUCAUUCAUUCUUACCACCCCUAAAAAAUUACAAUCAUUAUUCCUAUUUAAUAUUUCAAGGAGGGCAUAUAACUUGCCUAAGUACACAUGGCUAGCAAAGAGAGAGGCCAGCAUUUUAACCCAGGCAUGUGGACUCCAGAGCCACUACUUUCAAAUGCUUCAUCCCUGUGGCACAUACUUUUGUUUCAGCUAGUCCUGCCAAUUUGUAAAAAAAAAAAAAA